rnacentral:rRNA from 1 species
UACGAAGGGGGCUAGCGUUGCUCGGAAUCACUGGGCGUAAAGCGCACGUAGGCGGACUCUUAAGUCGGUGGUGAAAUCCUGGAGCUCAACUCCAGAACUGCCUUUGAUACUGAGAAGCUCGAGUCCGGGAGAGGUGAGUGGAGCUGCGAGUGUAGAGGUGAAAUUCGUAGAUAUUCGCAAGAACACCAGUGGCGAAGGCGGCUCACUGGCCCGGUACUGACGCUGAGGUGCGAAAGCGUGGGGAGCAAACAGG